ensembl:lncRNA
CCCCGGAGCGCUCUGCUCGUGGGGACCCUCCCCGGUCUUAGCUUCCUCCCCCGAGUGGUGGGAGCUGGCAGAGUUUACUGCUCCCAUGGGGUGUGCCAGGCGUGGCUGAGCCCCGAACCCCGUGCGGUUGUAUAGGAUUGCCUGGAGGGCUGCAGUGUUGGCAUCUGUUCGACCAUAUCAUCAUCCGAUUAGUAGGAAUGAUAUGAUGCCUACUCCCUCUCAUCCGAUGAACAGUUGGAAGAGGUUGUUGGCUGUGACUAGGAUUAUUAUGGUAAUAAGGAAUGUGAGUAGGUAUUUAAAAAAUCGAGUGAUGUAAGGAUCUGAGUGUAUGUAUCAUAGGGAGAAUUCUAUGAUAGAUCAUGUUACGAAUAGGGCUACUGGUACAAAGACCAUUGAGAAAUAGUCUAGUUUGAAGCUUAGGGAUAGUUUGAGGGUUUGAAUGGUCAUUCAGUGUCAGUUUGAGAUGAUUGUUUCUUGUCCAGAGUGGAUAAAUAUUAUGGUAGGAAUUAGGCUGGUAAUGAAGGCAUAUGAAAUGAUGUUUUUUACGUGAUGAGGAUACGUGCUGUUUUUGUGGGUGUUGAGGAUUGAUGAUAUGAUUGGUAGGGUUAAUACUGAUAAUGAAACUAGCAUGAGGGAGGAGAAUAUGUUAAUUACUUUUACUUGGAGUUGCACCAAUUUUUUGGUUCCUAAGACCAACGGAUAGCUCCUAUCCUUUAAAAGUUUGAGAGAGCCGUGUUUGUCAGACGCGGAAGCAUGAAUUAGCAGUUCUUGCAUACUUUCUCGGUAAAUAAGAAAUAUUGAGUUUCUGUUUCUAGAUCCACAAUCUAGCGUUUUUGUUAAACUAUAUUUACAGUACGUAAAGCCUAGGAUGAUUUUGGGAUUAAGUGAUAGGAGUAGUAGGGGAGUCAUGUGGAGGGCUAUGAGUGCGUUUUCUCGUGUAAAUGAGGGUUUGAUGUUGUUGAUAUGGUAUGUGUAUUUUCCUCGUUGUGUAGUAAUUAGUAUGUAGAGGGAGUAGAGAGCGGUGAUGGUGAUGUUGGUUAGGCUGGCUAAUAGUCAUCAAGCUGCUAUGAGGGGAAGGAGAGUUUGAAGUCCGCGGGCUAGGAUUAUGGUUCGGCUAUGAGUGCGUUCGUAAUUUGAGUUUGCUAGACAGAAUAGUAUUGAUGACGUAAGACCGUGGGCAAUUAUUAGGGCUGUGGCCCCUAUAUAGCUUCAUGGUGUUUGGAUAAGGACGGCUACAAUUACUAGGGCUAUAUGGCUGACAGAGGAGUAUGCAAUAAGUGAUUUUAGAUCAGUUUGUCGUAAGCAGAUGGAGCUAGUUAUAAUUAUUCCUCAUAGAGAUAGUAUGAGGAAGGGGUAGGCUAUAAAAUUAGUCUGGGGGUUUAGUAUUAUUGUAAUUCGCAGUAUUCCGUAGCCCCCUAGUUUUAGUAGGAUGGCUGCUAGCACUAUGGACCCAGCGAUUGGGGCUUCUACAUGGGCUUUCGGAAGUCAGAGGUGAAGGCCAUAUAGGGGCAUUUUAACUAUAAACGCUAUUAUACAUGCUAAUCAUAAGAAGAUAUUAGAUCAAGAGUCGGGUAGUGCUUGGUUUCAGUAUUGGAUUAGUAGGAAAUUUAGUGAGCCUGUUAGGUUUUGGAUAGAGAUUAGUGCGACUAAGAGUGGGAGGGAGCCUACUAGCGUGUAGAAUAGAAAGUAGAGGCCUGCGUUUAGGCGUUCUGUUUGGUUACCUCAGCGGGUGAUGAUAAUUAGUGUUGGAACUAAUGUGGCUUCGAAUAGGAUAUA